rnacentral:rRNA from 1 species
UGGGGAAUAUUGGACAAUGGGCGAAAGCCUGAUCCAGCCAUGCCGCGUGAGUGACGAAGGCCUUAGGGUUGUAAAACUCUUUUGGCGGGGACGAUAAUGACGGUACCCGCAGAAUAAGCCCCGGCUAACUUCGUGCCAGCAGCCGCGGUAAUACGAAGGGGGCUAGCGUUGUUCGGAAUCACUGGGCGUAAAGCGCACGUAGGCGGACUGGUCAGUUGGGGGUGAAAUCCCAGGGCUCAACCCUGGAACUGCCUCCAAUACUGCCAGUCUUGAGUCCGAGAGAGGUGAGUGGAAUUCCUAGUGUAGAGGUGAAAUUCGUAGAUAUUAGGAAGAACACCAGUGGCGAAGGCGGCUCACUGGCUCGGUACUGACGCUGAGGUGCGAAAGCGUGGGGAGCAAACAGGAUUAGAUACCCCCGUAGUCC